AACGAACGCUGGCGGCAUGCCUAACACAUGCAAGUCGAACGGGGCAGCAAUGCCUAGUGGCGGACGGGUGAGGAAUACGUAGGAAUCUGCCCUUAAGUGGGGGAUAACCAGGGGAAACCCUGACUAAUACCGCAUGAUCUCUUCGGAGCAAAGAGGGGGACCGCAAGGCCUCUCGCUUCUGGAUGAGCCUACGUCUGAUUAGCUAGUUGGUAGGGUAAAGGCCUACCAAGGCGACGAUCAGUAACUGGUCUGAGAGGAUGAUCAGUCACACCGGAACUGAGACACGGUCCGGACUCCUACGGGAGGCAGCAGUGGGGAAUAUUGGACAAUGGGCGCAAGCCUGAUCCAGCGAUGCCGCGUGUGUGAAGAAGGCCUUCGGGUUGUAAAGCACUUUAGCCUGGAAAGAAAAAACUUUGGUUAACACCCAAAGUCUUGACGGUACCAGGAGAAUAAGCACCGGCUAACUCUGUGCCAGCCGCCGCAGUAAUAC
rnacentral:rRNA from 1 species